GUAAUGGAUGUAACAGCAGUGGCAGCAUCACCAGCAACAGCACCUCUUCUGGCGCCUAGAGGAGGAAGGAGACAGACCAGAGGUGCUCUGGCUCUAAUCGUGGCUGCUGUCUGUCGCUGCCUACUCGUACUCCGCGCUGUGGAGGUCCGUCAUGGAGAAGGACCUCGGGGACCGAAACGACCCGGCCCUCGCCAUCUGGCCGGCGGUGGCGUGCGCGCUCAGCCGCGGGGACGGGAACGUGGGCGGCCUCCUGCCCCUGAGCCCGCCGCGCCCGUGCUGGCCCUCGUCCUCGUCCUCGUCGUCCGCGCCCUCCUCGUCGUCCUCCUCCACCACCGCGUGGUCCGGGGCCAGCAGCGGCGGCAGGUACGCGGUGGCCAGCGCGCUGCACGACGCCCGCCGCCGCGACCACGCCCGCAGCACGCGCCGCCGCUUGUUGAACGGGUUCUCCGGCUUCGCGAUCUCCUUGGCGGCCGCCGUCGCAGCCGCCUCCGCCAGGCUCGUGAACGACUUGGACUUGCCCGCGUAGAAGUUGGACAGGCCCCGCCUACGAAUUCGUUCCUCGGUUAGUUCGGUGUUCAAGGAUUAUAUAUUAUUACUAUUCUCAUUAUAGGGCAAGAAAGAGAGGAUCAGCAGGGAAAUGCAUUGCUGCUGUCAAAACCACGACUGCUGCUAAGGAUGGGAAGAAAAAACACUUCUCUUCUUUUCUAUGUACACAUCUCUUGUCAUUGCUAGCUACUCUACUCGGAUCUAAACCAGCCUCUUACAAUUUCGCUACAAGAACAUUAUUUUUCGCAGCAAAAAAAUCGGAUUUUU
rnacentral:misc_RNA from 1 species